rnacentral:rRNA from 1 species
AGCAGCCACGGUAAUUCCAGCUCCAAUAGCGUAUAUUAAAGUUGUUGCAGUUAAAAAGCUCGUAGUUGAAUUUCGAGACCGGUCCACUGGUCGUGCUUUUGUACGUACUGGUAUAAUCGGUUUCUCUCUUCUGACGAACUAUAAUGCCAUUAAUUUGGUGUUUUAGGGAAUCAGGACUGUUACUUUGAAAAAAUUGAGUGUUUAAAGCAGGCUCACGCUUGAAUACAUUAGCAUGGAAUAACGAAAUAGGACGUUUGAUUCUAUUUUGUUAGUUUCUAGGAUCGACGUAAUGAUUAAUAGGGAUAGUUGGGGGCAAUUAGUAUUC